UACGAAGGGGGCUAGCGUUGCUCGGAAUCACUGGGCGUAAAGGGUGCGUAGGCGGGUUUUUAAGUCAGGGGUGAAAUCCUGGAGCUCAACUCCAGAACUGCCUUUGAUACUGGAGAUCUUGAGUCCGGGAGAGGUGAGUGGAACUGCGAGUGUAGAGGUGAAAUUCGUAGAUAUUCGCAAGAACACCAGUGGCGAAGGCGGCUCACUGGCCCGGUACUGACGCUGAUAUACGAAAGCGUGGGGAGCAAACAGG
rnacentral:rRNA from 1 species